ensembl:lncRNA
ACUGACCAAUUAUACGGCUAAGAUGUGAGGCAUAAAGUGUGUUAAAAAUGAAAACAUAUGGUAUUUAACUCUUACAGACACCACUAAUGUAUAAAUUAAGAUUAAAUAUAAUUUAAGAUAUUUUAUUUUUGUUAAGUGUCCUCUCUGUUUCCUGGAGACAAAUGAUGGCAUAAGAGAGAAUAGAGUGUUGGCAAUUUCUUUCUCUUGGUUGGAGAGGUGCUGAACUGACAGGAAUGAACUGACUCUCUCUUCUCCCCAGAGAAAGAAUAUGUUCCUGAAAGGCAGAGAAAGCUGCAAGUAAGUGGGACACAAUGUUGCUGUGUAAAGAAGUGGCUGUAGGCUUUCUGGGGUCCCACCUUAUUUUGGACACCAGCGCUGAUGAUGGUGAUCCAUCAGCACAUGGUGAAACUACAGAAUCCCCAGAGACCUGCUGCUGCUGUGCUGGAGAACAUCAGAAAGGCCAGAAGCCACACCUUGGUUCUGUAGAGUGGGACUGAAAAUAGGAUUAGGCAUAACAAAGAGAAACAUGACACCGUCCUUAAAUAAAUAAACUUUUGAAAUAGAGGAGUGUUUGGUAUGAUUGUUUUUUUGCAAAAACAGAUUACUCAGUUUUUAAAAAAAAAAUCAAAAAUCAUGUUUUUUUAUUAUGCUAUCAUAUUUUUAUGAGGUGCGAAACAGGAAAUAAUUAUAUAAAAAUCUGUAUAUAUAUAAAUGUAAACUGUGAAUAUAUUGUUAUGUCUGAUUAUAUAGAAGUAAAUCUUAAUGUAUACAUAUAAGUCUGAAUAUAUAAAUGUAAAUCUGAAUAUAUAGUUAUAAGUCUGAAUAUAUAGAAGUAAAUUUUAAUAUAUAGUUAUAACUG